UCUGGCAUCUCGAUGACCUCGUCAACCUCUACUUGGCCAUAAACCCACCCAAAUUGCCCCAAAAUUGGCUCUGGGUGGGGUCAUCGUGGUCACUCUGGCAUCUCGAUGACCUCGUCAACCUCUACUUGGCCAUAAAUUGACUUUAAAUGCCCCAAAAUCGAGUUUGGGUGAGGUUAGAACACUCCCAGGAGGGUCUUGAUGACCUUGUCAACCUCUACUUGGCCGUGAAUCAACCCAAAUUGCCCCAAAAUUUGGUCUAGCUGAGGUCAGAACGGUCCCAGAAGUGUCUUGAUGACCUCAUCAACCCCUACUUGGCCAUAAACCCCCCCAAAUUGCCCCAAAAUUGGCUCUGGGUGAGGUCAUCGUGGCCACUCUGGCAUCUCGAUGACCUCGUCAACCUCUACUUGGCCAUAAAUCCACCCAAAUUGCCCCAAAAUCGGGUUUGGGUGAGGUCAUCGUGGCCACUCUGGCAUCUCGAUGACCUCGUCAACCUCUACUUGGCCAUAAACCCACCCAAAUUGCCCCAAAAUGGGGUUUGGGUGAGGUCAUCGUGGCCACUCUGGCAUCUCGAUGACCUCAUCGACCUUUUCUUGGCCCUACAUUGGCUCUAAAGGCCCGUGAGUCCGGUUCCGAUGACGUCAUCGCGGCCUGGGCGCGGCCCUGCUGACCUCACCGCCCUCCCGCUGACCCCGUUGGGCAGCUGCCGCCCCGUUGGCCGGGGCCGCGUGACAUCAUCGCUGUCUCGAGGGCCUCGUUGAGCCCCGCCCCGAAGCCCCACCCCUAGGGGAGCGCCGCUAGAGGUGGCCCCACCCCCCCUUUGAGACCCCGCCCCGUCUCCCCCUAUAGAUCCCCUGCCCCAUAGGCCCCUCCCCUGGACCCCGCUCACCCCCUAUAGAGCCCCCCACCCCCUUUAGCCCCGCCCAAGCCCUGGAGACCCCUCCCCCACCCCCCACGAGCCCCUAUAGCCCCCAUAGGGCCCGGCCACACCCUCAGGGAACCCCACCCCCACCCCCUAUAUUUUUACCCCCUGCCCAGGGGACGAAUAAAAACUCUCGUUGAAUCGUG